AUGGCUUAUUUCUUUUUUAGGACAAAAACAAGGAACGAGUUUUGGGAUUAUGCACCGGUACCGAUCGGCCAGUUUCUUCUUCAGCUUUACAUGAUCUUCUGCGAGCUUGGUGAUAACACUCCAAGCCCUGCUAUGCCAUUCUUCAUCCAGCCAUGGUGCAAAACUCGGAGUCAAACUCGUGUUGCGGGAGUCUGGAGUCAUGCUCCGAAUCCGGCAGCAGAUCGCUUUCCUUGUGUGGGGGAGUCAUUCAGGACGGAUUCAGCAAGGAGCUACUUUGGACAUGCUAAAAAGAUCAGGAUAGAUUGGAACCUGAUAGGACGAUUCAGAUUCAUAGUACACCUGCCUUCUGAGGACCUUAGGCAAGUGCUCGGCAGCGGCCGCCGUCGUGGCAGCGAUACGAGCAGGAGCAGCCACACCAAAACCAUCAGCACCACUCAUCCUGAUUCCCCCAAUUCGCUCUGCAUAUGGAGAUGGCGGCAGGGGCCUAGGCAGCGGCUACCGGAGAAGAGGUCAAUCCUCGGUCGGUGGGCGGUGGCAGCGUCAAAGGAGGUCAAUCCUCGGUCUGUGACGGGAUAUAGGAGGAGUUCAACCAUCGAGAUGGAACGAUCUCAAUGGAUGAAGAAGCGGAGAACCGCAGAUUUUAUUAGUGGUGUGACGGAGUUCCUAAAUUUGGCUGAAAGUACAAAGAGGAGAAUUGGUGAUGCGGAUUACAUCUUGUGUCCAUGUACUGAUUGUCGCAAUACAGAGUCACGUGAAGUUGCAUAUGUCCAGUGGCACUUAGUCUCUCAGGGAUUCAUGGAUGGACAUACAUGUUGGACCAGAAACGGUGAAGAGAAGGUGAUGGAUGAAUAUACCCAGGGUCGUGAGAUGCCAAACCCCGAUCAGUGUCACAUGGAUGUUGAGUCUAACAUCUGGGCAGAGGCGUCAAGCUACCAAUGCAACACCGGAAAGACAAAACGCCCACUAGAAAACCAAGACUUCGACGCAGAUGACGACGAUCUUGAUAUGCCAGAUUUUGCUGCUACGAUUGCAGAUUUCAAGGGCCCAAAAAAGGAUAUGAUUGGAGAACCCAAACCCCACGGAUCGCACGUCUGCACCAUUGGAUGCUCCCAGAUCGAACAACAAUUCUCAUCCCUUUCGGCAGCAAAUGCAGUUCUGGUUGGAAAUAAGAAUUGCACUAACGUGGUGAUGAAUAGGGCUCAAUUCCUCGGCAAUCAAAAUACUGCAUGUACCAUGUCGUACAAGAUCUAUGGUGGUUUCUCCCCUCUUAACUCCAAGAAGGAAUCAGAAGAAGAGCUACUAGAAUGA
rnacentral:rRNA from 1 species